CGAGCUGAACCGAACCGGGCUUUUCCAGCGCAGCACAAUCGCUGGCGAGGGGGCCUGGCCUGGAGCCUUUCCGCCUACCUCUGAGCUCAUUAGGACCACACUUCACAGGGACACGGCGGAAAGCCACCAGAACAGCGCCUGGCAGAGAGUAGGUGCUCAACAAACACUUGUUCAGUCAAUGAAUACAUCAUUUCAUCUCCCGGCUUCACGUGGCUGGCAGGGCAGAGGGUGCAGUCAUUCGCCUUACACAAGUGGAAACUGAGGCCCAGCUUCCUAACAGCCACUAGGUGAGGAAGGACACUCGGUCCCCUGCAUCCCCUGCCAGGGCCUUUGCUCUGCACUGCAGCCCCUG